rnacentral:rRNA from 1 species
GCUCCAAUAGCGUAUAUUAAAGUUGUUGCAGUUAAAAAGCUCGUAGUUGGAUUUGUGGUGUGUGCUUGGCGUCCAUUUAUUUGGUUCUGCCGUGGCCAUGCCAUCCUUGGGUGGAUCCUGUGUGGCAUUAGGUUGUCGUGCAGGGGAUGCCAUCGUUUACUGUGAAAAAAUUAGAGUGUUCAAAGCAGGCUUAUGCCGUU